GUUGAUCCUGCGGGAGAUUGCUGCUAUUGGAGUUCGGUUUAGCCAUGCAAGUUUAGGAGACUUCGGACUACUAGCAAAAGGCUCAGUAACACGUCGAUAAUCUGCCGUAUAGUUUGGGAUAACCUUGGGAAACUGAGGCUAAACCCGGAUAGAAGAUAUGUGCUGGAAUGCUAUAUCUUUCAAAACUUCGGUGCUAUACGAUGAGUCGGCGGCCGAUUAGAUUGUUGGUGAGGUAACGGCUCACCAAGUCGAAGAUCGGUAGAGGGGAUGAGAGUCCUGGCCUCGAGAAGGGCACCGAGAUAAGGGCCCUAGCCCUAAGGGGUGCAGCAGGCGCGAAAACUUUACAAUGCACGCGAGUGUGAUAAGGGAACUCCAAGUGCUUACGUUCUGCGUAGGUUUUUGUCAAGUGUAAGAACCUUGACGAAUAAGUGGUGGGUAAUACCGGUGCCAGCAGCCGCGGUAACACCGGAGCCACAAGUGGUGAUCACGAUUAUUGGGUCUAAAGCGUCCGUAGCCGAUAUGGUGCGUUUUUUGUGAAAUCGUUAGUUUUAUGCUAACGGUGUGCAAGAAAUACGGCCAUGUUAGAGACCGGGAGGGGGCAGAAGUAUGUUUUGGGUAGCGGUAAAAUGCGAUAAUCCUUAACAGACUACCGAUGGCGAAGGCAUCUGCCUAGAACGGGUCUGACGGUGAGGGACGAAAGCCAGGGGAGCAACCCGGAUUAGAUACCCGAUUAGUCCUGGCUGUAAACGCUGCAAACUAUGUGUUGCAUGUUCUCCGAGGACAUGCAGUGCCGUAGCGAAGGUGUUAAGUUUGCCACCUGGGAAGUACGGCCGCAAGACUGAAACUUUAAGGAAUUGGCGGGGGCGUACACAAGGAGUGCGGCGUGCGGUUUAAUCUAACUAUACACAGAGAAUCUCACCAGGGGCGACGGCAGGAUGAAGGUCAGAUUGAAGGUCUUACCUAACGAGCCGAGAGAUGCUGCAUGGCCGACGUCAGCUCGUGCCGUAAGGUGUCCAGUUAAGUCUGGCAACGAGCAAGACCCAUGCUUACAGUUGCUAACAAGUUCUUCGGAAUGAUUGAGCACACUGUAGGGACUGCAUUGGUAACAAUGAGGAAGGUGUGGGCAACGUUAGGUCUGUAUGGCUCGAAUCUCCUGGGCUACACGCGCGCAACAAUGGUAGGGACAAUGGGAUACAACUCCGAAAGGAGAAGUCAAACCUCUAAACCCUAUCUUAGUCCAGAUUGAGGGCUGUAACCCGCUCUCAUGACGAUGGAAUUCCUAGUAAUCGGGUGUCAACAGCGCCCGGUGAAUGUGUCCCUGUGCCUUGCACACACUGCCCGUCAAACCAACCGAGCAGGGUUUAGGUGAGGGUUAACCUUUUAGGUUAAUCCGAACCUAGAUUCAGUGAGGUGGGUUAAGUCGUCACAAGGUA
rnacentral:rRNA from 1 species